UACGUAGGGUGCAAGCGUUGUCCGGAAUUAUUGGGCGUAAAGAGCUCGUAGGCGGUCUGUCACGUCGGACGUGAAAAUCCAGGGCUCAACCCUGGACCUGCGUUCGAUACGGGCAGACUAGAGUUCGGUAGGGGAGACUGGAAUUCCCGGUGUAGAGGUGAAAUUCGUAGAUAUCGGGAGGAACACCCGUGGCGAAGGCGGCCACCUGGAAGAUUACUGACGCUGAGACGCGAAAGCGUGGGGAGCAAACAGG
rnacentral:rRNA from 1 species